GCCGGAGUGGCGGAAUGGCAGACGCAGGGGACUCAAAAUCCCCCGCUCUUCACGGGCAUGUGGGUUCGACUCCCACCUCCGGCACCA
rnacentral:tRNA from 1 species